CCCGAACCUACUCCGAAGGGCGCAACCCGCCCAGCCGGUGGUUGGCCCCAGAGUGCGAGGGGGCGUUGGGUUUAGGGGUGGAGAGAGGAGCGCAUAGCCCUGAGAUCUUCAGUGCGCCCGGGAAUUCCAGCGGGCUACGGGCGCUCUGACCCGGCUUGCCCGGCCCUUCUCGGAGCAUGGAGUGGGAAACAGAAUCCUGGAUUCGAUAGGCUCGGCCUAGGUUGACAGGACGGAACUCCUGCUCCCUCAACCUGCAGCCACACAGCAACCCAUAGGUAUCAGUCCCAUGCCGGAUGAGGAAACCGAGACUCCGAGAUGUUAGCUGGUGAACUGGGGAAGCUAAUGACAUCAAGUGGCGAGCCAUCCUUACCUCCAGGGAGCUGUAUUAGUCUUUGCCCUCAGAGGUCCCUAUUAUUAAGGUUCUGAGCUGCAGCUGGGGCCACUUGAUGAGACCAAAAUCAAUUCACUUGGUCUUCUUCAAAACUGUUUUGUCCAGAGAUAAACUGCUCCAGACCACAGAGUGUACCUCCAAGAUUCAGAGACCAUUUUUCUAGGCACCACCGCGUCUCACUGAAUCCUGAGUUUGCUGAUUCAGCUAGUCUAAAUAAAGAAGCUUGCCCCAGGAAUCCCUCAUCUCUGCUCCCAAGUGGUGGUUCAUUAUUAGGCCACAGUGCCUACCCAGCUCUUCUGUGGGUCCUGGAGAUCCAAACUCCAGUCCUCAUGCUUUGGCAGCAAACGCUUGCCUUCACUGAGCUCACUCUCUAGCACAUGCUUAUUUUAUUUUAUUUUUUUUUUGCAGAAAUGCAUGUGUGUAUCUAGUUAUCAAAAGAAUAGUUAAGUUUUAAUAAAAGUUGGGACUGGA